AUAUCAGGGAAAGUCACUGAAAUACAUUAUGCUCACAGCCUUUCCUUUCAUUGCUUCUUUUCACUCAGUAGCUGAGCUUGCUGGUGAACUGAAUUUGCUGGGAAUGGAAAUAAAGGAGCAUUUCCUAACACUGUCAGCACAAAUAGGUAACCUGGGCUCUCUCUCCAAAUAUUUCAGCUUUUCGGCAUUCACUGCAGAUUCUCACCUAACAUGCCUUGGAUGAGAUACCCUGAGAUGCAGCAGACAACAACAGAAACAGACAGAACUGCUCGUCCCAUUUAAUAGCUGAAGACUUGAGGCACAGCUGGUCAGAAUCACACAAGGCGUAUGGGUGUCUUGACCUUUCAAACAUCUUUCCAUAUGAACUGCUAGCAAGACUGGCAAACCUCGGGAGCUUGGCUGCACAUGACGGCAGGGUGGCAUGAG